GUGAUUCUCCUGCCUCAGCCUCCCAAGUAGCUGCAAUUACAGGACCUGCCCCUGCCAAACUUGCAGUGACAAAAUCUUCAAGGGAUUAAAAACGAAUCUUGCUUUUAUUUGCCAACCUGGACAAAACCAACCAGCACUCUUAAUGACAGGUAUCAUUAAGACACCCUGUUCUCACCCUCCCUGAGCUCCUUCAGCCAUCAGCCAGAAGAGAGGCAGCAGCACUGAUACUUACCCAGGCUGGGCACUGGGGUACGAAAACGAAGAUGCCCUGAAGGAAUUUCAAAGUUACGGAGUCCAUUAACAUGAAGCACUAAAACACAAAAAGAAACUGAAGAGAUUUAUAAGCAUAUGAAAUGCCCUCACCAGAGACAGUUGAAAUAAUAAAUUGAAAGUCAAAGGAACAUUUGUGAAGUUACUAUGAGCAGAUUUAUCUACUUCAGAACAUGUUUCUGGGACUGAAUCAUGCUAUAUAUUAUGUUUAACUUAAAAGGUAAAAUACAAAUUGAUUCUUUUAUAUUGGUAAUGACUUAUUGUGUUGAGAAAACCCUACUAUUGUAGAGAAGAGAAAUUUCACUUUAAACACUCCUAUGUCAUUUGUUAAAAGAAAUUAUCUGAAUGAUUUUUCUUUACAAGUUGGAAAUUUGGGAAAAUUCAAAUUAUUAGUAUUUUUAUGUGAUAGUAAAAUACUUCCAGUAUUAUUGUUUUACAAAAAUAUCCAAUUCUGAGUCCAGUUGCGAUAGCAACAGUAUUCUAGGAAAUAAUUUUUCUUGACUGCAAUUUGAGAUACAAUUAGUAUCCUCUGAAACAAAUAUCCCUGCCCCUAGAAAAGAAAAAGUGUGGCAAAGCAAAAUGGUGGCCUCUAUCUCCUCGUUAAAACAUCACAUUGAUAAAGUCCAUAUACUUCUCUGUUUCAAAAAGUCCCAGCCCUUUUAAACAUUGACAUUCUUAUCAUUUUGUGUGUUCGGCACUGGCCACUGGCUAACAGUGUCUGUGUGGAUUUCUCCUUGAAUAUCUUUCCUCCAUCAACUGAUAAGCUAGUCACUCCUAGGAUUUCUGGUCAAGAGCAUGGCUCAAGAAAGCAAGCUGAUAAAGUACAUAUUUGAAAUUGCAACAAAACAUUCCUUCUCUUCUAGUUCUGUGUUUUGUUGUUGCUUGCUUGUUUGUUUUUUUCAUAUUUGAGGGUAGAUCUAAAGGCUACUGAGCUUUCAGGUUGAGGUUGCCCGGGCACUAAAGUGGCCGUGUAAUAUGCUUUCCCGGGAGAGAAAAGACACUGGUAUUGUAAAUCUAGCCUGUAUUCACUAUCACAGGGCUAAUCCAUGGCCAUAAAAUUACAGUCAAAUAUAAGAUGAACUGCCAGCCACUCUUUUCACAUCAAUCUAUACACACAAGCUAAUGUGUUAUUUUAGGAGUGAAAACAAAAUUCUUCAUUGCUCCUUAAAGAUGUAGCUCAAGGUAUAGGAUGAUCAUAACAAAUAUUUUUGAUCACAUUUAUUUUUCCUAUAUGUAACUUUUUUUAAGAAAUAAAAAUGUUAAAAUUCAGGAAACUAAAAGGAGAGACUUUUCAAAGUCCCAAUCCCCAAGGUAAAUACUGUUAAUGUUUUGGUGUUUUUCCUUUCAGUGUUUUGGUUAUUCUGUUCAUCCAAUUUUGUAUUUUUUAAUUGAAUUCAAUUAACAUAAUACUCUGGGAUGUCUUUCAUGAUGAUGUAUGAAUUAUGAGUUUGAAGGUUUGGGUAUAUUUUUUUCAGAAAUGGGGUCUCACUCUGUCACCCAAACUGGAAUGCU